AGUGAACGCUGGCGGUAGGCCUAACACAUGCAAGUCGAACGGCAGCACAGUAAGAGCUUGCUCUUACGGGUGGCGAGUGGCGGACGGGUGAGGAAUACAUCGGAAUCUACUUUUUCGUGGGGGAUAACGUAGGGAAACUUACGCUAAUACCGCAUACGACCUACGGGUGAAAGCAGGGGAUCUUCGGACCUUGCGCGAUUGAAUGAGCCGAUGUCGGAUUAGCUAGUUGGCGGGGUAAAGGCCCACCAAGGCGAGGAUCCGUAGCUGGUCUGAGAGGAUGAUCAGCCACACUGGAACUGAGACACGGUCCAGACUCCUACGGGAGGCAGCAGUGGGGAAUAUUGGACAAUGGGCGCAAGCCUGAUCCAGCCAUACCGCGUGGGUGAAGAAGGCCUUCGGGUUGUAAAGCCCUUUUGUUGGGAAAGAAAAGCAGCAGGUUAAUACCCCGCUGUUCUGGCGGUACCCAAAGAAUAAGCACCGGCUAACUUCGUG
rnacentral:rRNA from 1 species